rnacentral:tRNA from 1 species
AGGGAUGUAGCGCAGCUUGGUAGCGCCUUUGUUUUGGGUACAAAAUGUCACGGGUUAAAAUCCUGUCAUUGUCAUCCCUA